AUCCGGCUGACGAGUCUAAAAUAGAACGAAAUGCGCGUCCUGGAU
rfam:Schistosoma rodhaini strain Burundi genome assembly, scaffold: SROB_scaffold0002246